UACGAAGGGGGCUAGCGUUGCUCGGAAUCACUGGGCGUAAAGCGCACGUAGGCGGACUCUUAAGUCGGUGGUGAAAUCUCGGAGCUUAACUCCGAAACUGCAUUCGAUACUGCCGUGCUUGAGGACUGGAGAGGAGACUGGAAUUUACGGUGUAGCGGUGAAAUGCGUAGAUAUCGUAAGGAAGACCAGUGGCGAAGGCGGGUCUCUGGACAGUUCCUGACGCUGAGGCACGAAGGUCAGGGGAGCAAACAGG
rnacentral:rRNA from 1 species